rnacentral:rRNA from 1 species
CGAACGCUGGCGGCGUGCUUAACACAUGCAAGUCGAACGCGAAAGGGACUUCGGUCCUGAGUAAAGUGGCGCACGGGUGAGUAACGCGUAGAUAACCUGUCUUCAUGUCUGGAAUAAUACGCCGAAAGGGGUACUAACACCGGAUAUUCUUGCUUUUCAUAAGUUAUGCAAGCAAAGGUGGCCUCUGCAUAUGCUACUGCAUGAAGAGGGGUCUGCGUACCAUUAGCUAGUAGGUGGGGUAAUGGCCUACCUAGGCGACGAUGGUUAGCGGGUCUGAGAGGAUGAUCCGCCACACUGGCACUGGAACACGGGCCAGACUCCUACGGGAGGCAGCAGUGAGGAAUAUUGCGCAAUGGGGGAAACCCUGACGCAGCGACGCCGCGUGAGUGAAGGAAGGCCUUCGGGUCGUAAAGCUCUGUCAAGAGGAAAGAAGUGUACAAUGGCUAAUACCUGUUGUAUUUGACGGUACCUCUAAAGGAAGCACCGGCUAACUCCGUGCCAGCAGCCGC